UUCUGCAUCUCAAUUAUUCUGUUGUCAAAUGAAAACAGGAUUUAGAUGACAGGACAAGAGGAAAUGGCCUCAAGUCGCAUCAGGGUACCAGAACUGGAUGUUUAGACUGGACAUUAGGAAGCAUUUCUUCACCAAGACGGAGACAGAUUUCCUUGAGAGGUGCUUGAUACCCCAAGCCUGUCAGUGUUUAAGAGGCAUUUGGACAGUGCCCUUAAGAAAAAGAUUCAAAGUGACUCUGCUGCACCUGAUCAUCUGUAAUGGGAUGAAUUUGCUCCUGUAGGAAUGAAAUUGCUCCUGAUCCUUGGUGAUGUGAAUGCUACUAACAUAACAUUUAAAGGCACUACUCAUAAGAUAAGAUCCAUGAGUCCUAGUGUCUCAGGGGACUGGAGAUACGGUUGAAAAAAGAAGGUGGGAUCAGAGGAAGACAAGGCCAAGUGGGAAAUGUCCAGCUCUGCUAUUGUUUUAGCCAUGCUCCAAUGGGGAAGACACAGAAAUCAGA